rnacentral:rRNA from 1 species
UAUCCCUAGUUGCCAUCAKGUAAUGCUGGGCACUCUAGGGAGACUGUUUAUGCAAGUAGUGAGGAAGGUGGGGAUGACGUCAAGUCCUCAUGGCCCUUACGCCCAGGGCUACACACGUGCUACAAUGGGUGCUACAAAGGGCUGCGAAACCGCGAGGUGGAGCCAAUCCCAAAAAAGCACCCUCAGUUCGGAUUGGAGUCUGCAACUCGACUCCAUGAAGCUGGAAUUGCUAGUAAUCGCGCAUCAGCACGGCGCGGUGAAUACGUUCCCGGGCCUUGUACACACCGCCCGUCAAGCCAUGGAAGCCGGGGGUACCCGAAGUCGCUAGCCCAACCCCGAGUAAUCGGGGAGGGAGGCGCCUAAGGUAAAACCGGUGACUGGGGCU